CCCACAUAUUGAUCACGUGACAUACAUUUUUUUUUUCAUUUUACGUCCCUGGCAGAGUUCUUGGAGUACUAUGAACUUACAGUCGUCUAACUUUGUAUUCAAAUGCAUUUAGGAUAGCCAGACAUUCUUACAACUCCAUCAUAUAGACUUUCAACAAUGGUAGACACAGUGUAUACAGAGGAACUGAACAACUGAACAGAGCAGAACAGUAUUCAAUGACCUUGAAGAGCCAUUAAUGUGUACAGUGAAACAGC